AUUGAACGCUGGCGGCAGGCCUAACACAUGCAAGUCGAACGGUAACAGGGUUCAGCUUGCUGAUUCGCUGACGAGUGGCGGACGGGUGAGUCAUGUCUGGGAAACUGCCUGAUGGAGGGGGAUAACUACUGGAAACGGUAGCUAAUACCGCAUAACGUCGCAAGCCCAAAGAGGGGGAGCUUCGGGCCUCUUGCCAUCGGAUGCGCCCAGAUGGGAUUAGCUAGUAGGUGGGGUAACGUCUCACCUAGGCGACGAUCCCUAGCUGGUGUGAGAGGAUGACCGGCCACACUGGAACUGGAACACGGUCCAGACUCCUACGGGAGGCAGCAGUGGGGAAUAUUGCACAGUGGGCGCAAGCCUGAUGCAGCCAUGCCGCGUGUAUGAAGAAGGCCUUCGGGUUGUAAAGUACUUUCAGCGGGGAGGAAGGGAGUAAAGUUAAGACCUUUGCUCAUUGACGUUACCCGCAGAAGAAGCACCGGCUAACUCCGUG
rnacentral:rRNA from 1 species